UGGCUCUCGCAUCGAUGAAGAACGCAGCGAAAUGCGAUAAGUAAUGUGAAUUGCAGAAUUCAGUGAAUCAUCGAAUCUUUGAACGCACCUUGCGCCCGUUGGUAUUCCGACGGGCAUGCCUGUUUGAGUGUCUUGAAGUCAUCAAGCGCUUUGGGUUUUCGCGAACCCUUGGCGUUUGGACUUGGGGGCUAUUGCUGCGGAGACGCGGCUCCCCCUAAAUGCAUCGGUCGGUGCCCCGUGCUCGAGGUUACACCCGCGGCGUUGUAAUCUAAACCUCGCCUCAGCGGCUCGAGCAGUUUUGCCCGACUAUGACCUUGCCUCUGGAGUGGCGGUCGCAACCUUUGAAAUCUGACCUCAAAUCAGGUAGGACUACCCGCUGA
rnacentral:misc_RNA from 1 species